GACGAACGCUGGCGGCGUGCUUAACACAUGCAAGUCGAACGGAAAGGCCCCUUUGGGGGUACUCGAGUGGCGAACGGGUGAGUAACACGUGAGUAACCUUCCCUUUACUUCGGGAUAACUUCAGUAAACUGGGGCUAAUACCGGAUAGGAAUCCUUGCUGCAUGGUGGGGGUUGGAAAGCUUCUGCGGUUUUGGAUGGACUCGCGGCGUAUCAGCGUGUUGGUGGGGUAGUGGCUUACCAAGGCUUUGACGGGUAGCCGGCCUGAGAGGGCGACCGGCCACAUUGGGACUGAGAUACGGCACAGACUCCUACGGGAGGAAGCAGUGGGGAAUAUUGCACAAUGGGCGGAAGCCUGAUGCAGAAACGCCGCGUGCGGGAUGACGGCUUUCGGGUUGUAAAACGCUUUCAGCAGGGGCGAAGCUUGUGGUGACGGUACCUGCAGAAGAAGCACCGGCUAACUACGUG
rnacentral:rRNA from 1 species